UGAUGGAUAAAAGCUAGCGUCAAGCUCACUCCGCCCAGUUACCAAUUCCUAAAUUGACCAAAUAUCAAAAGUUUUAGCUCACAGCGAAUCUUGAAUAGAGCAGAAAUGAACAGCUAAUAGCGAAAACUGUAAACAAAUUUUAAAGCACGUUUUUCAAUAAUAAAUUUAAAAAAAAUUUUAUAUCAUCACUAUACAUUGAAAUUUAAAAACGGAUCAAAAAUAUGGGUGAUACAGACUCUGAGUGGCAAUCUGUUAAUCAUAAAAGGAAGGUUGUGCAUUUUCCCAAGAACAAAAAGAAGAAAAAGAUUCUUCAAAAUGAACUUGGUAUAGAUGAUUUGAAUAGUUUAAAGUCCUAUGAAGAUUCUCACA